UGAAACAAUGUGGGACUGAGCCUGACUGAGCAGUAGGUGGAGCGAGAUCGCUUGCUCCUCCCACGUCUUCUGGGAUAUGGACCAAAGCAGGAUUCCUAAGGGAGGAAUGUGUGCUCCUCGGAACCCAGGGUGGCCUCGUGCUUUCUUUCCGGUAGAAGCUGUGAGAUGAAGACCUUUGCCUCUGGUCGUGUUUCUUUACCGUUGGACCCUAAGAGUCCCAGAAGCUCUAGGUCCCUGAAUAUUCUUAGGAGUUGUCUCCUACCCUCUGGAGCAUAUGUGUCUUCCUAAGGCUUCUGUUGUCCUAAACAUCUCUGGCUCAUUUUUCCCAGUAAACAUGAUGGCGUUUGUGUAUCA